rnacentral:rRNA from 1 species
GGGCUGCAAGGUGAAAUCCCUGUGGUUCGCUGGUGCAGGCUGGAAUAGUAGCACUGCUUGAGAGUGUAGUGCGAACACGGGAGGUAUUCCUCUUCCAAGGCUGAACACAGACUCAAGUCCGAUAGCAUAUCGAGUAGCGCGAGCGAAAGGUGAAAAGCAGACUCAUAAGGGUUGCUUAAAAGACGCGAAACCACUGGACCGAAGGGCUUGCCGGCACUGCAUAGUCAAACCUCUAGUCGAGGGUGCCUGCAAUUCGCCCGUCUCGUAACACGGAUCAAGGAGUUACUUUAGACUGCGAGCAGCAGGGCCGACGCCCUCGUGCGCAGCGAAAGCAGAAAUGUCAGUCUCGUUCGCAGUGUCCGGUUCACCGGGCGCUGCCUACAGAGUAGUCUGAUGUAGACCCGAAAGGUAGUGAUCUUUACGUGGCGAGGAGGAAGCCAAUCGAAAGGUUGGUGGACGUCCGCAGCAGUACUGACGUGCAAAUCGUUUGUCAGAGCUACGUAAAGGGGCGAAAGACUCAUCGAACUUCCAAGUAGCUGGUUACUUUCGAAAUUUCUCUCAGGAUAGCAGUGCUGCACAUAGCUUCGGCUGGUAGAGAGAAUGAUUGGUGGAAAGUGGUCUUCGGAUAUGCCCCAACUCUCAAACUCCGAACAGCCGAGAACGAGCGUCUUCCGCAAGGAGUUGGCUCGAUGGAGUAAGCAGCACUAGUGGGCCACUCUGGGUAAGCCGGAUUGGCAAGGAGGAUUCAGCCUUAAGCAGAGUUACGGCGCGCAACACGGGCGCAUGAGACUAAACGACGUGCGCUGAUAUUGACAGCAGGAAGGUGGCCAUAGAAGUUGGAAGCCUCUAAAGAGUGUGUUACAACUCACCUGCCGAAUCAGUGUGCUCGGAAAAUGGAUCGCGCUUCAGCCCGUGGCCUACACUCGUCUGUCCCCAGGACAGGUAGGAUGUGGUGGCGCCUGCGAUGAAGUGACCUCGCAAGAGGGCAUUGAGCAGGCGUUAGUCCAGAUCUUGAUUGGAGUAGCAAAUAGUCUGUUUACAGACCACUGAAGAGGAGAAGGAUUCCGCAGCCACUAAAACAGACUGCGGGUGACUCGGUCCUAAGCGCUCGGCGAAUGCCAUUAAAGCGUCGAAAGGGAAGCUGGUUAAGAUCCCAGCAGGCUUGCUCAUCACUGGCGACAGUUGGUGCAGCUACGAGACUCCAGACCUACGAGGCUGAAUCAUCGCAUCAGCUUAACGUGUACGCACCUGCCGAAGAGCUCAGCUCUAGAAGCAGGCGCCCGCACGGCAUACAGUGGUUCGCACACUGUUCGUUGGGUCUGGGGUCGCCUCAAGUAGAACUGCACGUCUCAAGCAAGCACCGUACUGAUAACCGCAUCAGGUCUCCUAGGCUAGAAACCUUUAGUGAGAAGGCAACGCACACAAGGGAAGUCGGCAAAUCGGCUCUGUAACUUUGGGAUAAAGAGUGGCUCUGGAUGCCCGUGCGUAAGCUAUCUCAUCGAGACCCUGGCGAAGCGUCCAAGUGGAGCAAUCUGCUAGACGUCAGCUUGGUGAUCCUUGUCUUGGCGAGCGCACCAUGGGCAGUUCAGAACUGGUACUGACUAGAAGAACCCGACUGUCUAAUUAAAACAUAGCAUCUCGAUAACCGCAGCUGGCUUUGACGAGAUGUGAAUCCUGCCCAGUGCUACGACUGUCAAUGUGACGAGAGUCAUCCAAGCUCUGGUAAACGGCGGGAGUAACUAUGACUCUUUUAAGGUAGCCAAAUGCCUCGUCCAGUAAUUUUGGACGUGCAUGAAUGGAUUAAUGUGGUUCUUACUGUCCCUGAGUGCAUCUUCGCGAAACCACAGACUCGGGAACGGGCGAGUAUUAUACUCAGCGGGGCAAGAAGACCCUGUUGAGCUUGACUCCAGCUUGGAAUUGUAGAACGGUGAUGGUGGUAUAGCGUACAGGGGAGAGAAAUCGAUCGUGUAACACCCUGACACUACUCAUUGUUCUGCUAACCUGGUCCACGGCUCAGCUUUCGCUCAGAGCUUGCCAGGAACAUUUCUAGGUCGGGAGUUUGGCUGGGGCGGCGCGCCUGCUAAAACGCAACGCAGGCGUCCUAAAACAAGCUCAAGCAGGACGGAAACCUGUUGUAGAGCAAAAGAGCAAAAGCUUGUCUGAUUGAGAGCGUCAGUGGCGUUCUCAACCGUGAAAGCGUGGUCUAUCGAUCCUUUACGAUUCGGGGCAUGAAUUUGGAGGUGACAGAAAAGUUACCACAGGGAUAACUGGCUUGUGGCCGCCAAGCGACCAAAGCGACGUGGCUUUUUGAUUCUUCGAUGUCGGCUCUUCCUAUCAUUCCGAAGCAGCAUUCAGAAAGUGUUGGAUUGUUCACCCAUACAAGGGAACGUGAGCUGGGUUUAGACCGUCGCGAGACAGGUUAGUUUUAUCCUACUGAGUUCAGCGGCUCAGGACAGCACUUUAGACUAGUACGAGAGGAACAUUUACAGCCGAGCUAUAGCUUACGACUUUGCCCGACAGGACAGCGAGUCGAUGCCACCCUCGGGGGACGUAAAGCUGACGGCCUCUAAGCUUGAACUCCGCCUGCAAUGAGAGCGCCCAACGCUAACAUUGCUGGGGCUCGACACCUGGAACAUCACCAGUCCGGCAGACACCGGAAGGCGUUAGUUCAAUCGAGCUCCGCAGAUGAUCUGCAAAAAAA